UACGGGGGGAGCAAGCGUUGUUCGGAUUUACUGGGCGUAAAGGGCGCGUAGGCGGUCAUUACAAGUCUGUUGUGAAAUCUCUGGGCUUAACUCAGAACGGUCAACUGAUACUGUCGGACUAGAGUGCAGAAGGGGCAACUGGAAUUCUCGGUGUAGCGGUGAAAUGCGUAGAUAUCGAGAGGAACACCUGCGGCGAAGGCGGCUCGCUGGGACGGUACUGACGCUGAGGCGCGAAAGCGUGGGGAGCAAACAGG
rnacentral:rRNA from 1 species